UAGGUACUCCCUCCGUCCGAAAAUACUUGUCCUCAAAAUGGAUAAAAUGGAUGUAUCUAUAACUAAAAUAAGUCUAGAUACAUCCAUUUCUAGGACAAGUAUUUAUGGACGGAGGAAGUAUGAA
rfam:Triticum aestivum genome assembly, contig: Triticum_aestivum_CS42_TGACv1_scaffold_516027_6BS